rnacentral:rRNA from 1 species
UACAUGCAGUCGAACGCACAGCGAAAGGUGCUUGCACCUUUCAAGUGAGUGGCGAACGGGUGAGUAACACGUGGACAACCUGCCUCAAGGCUGGGGAUAACAUUUGGAAACAGAUGCUAAUACCGAAUAAAACUUAGUAUCGCAUGAUACCAGGUUAAAAGGCGCUACGGCGUCACCUAGAGAUGGAUCCGCGGUGCAUUAGUUAGUUGGUGGGGUAAAGGCCUACCAAGACAAUGAUGCAUAGCCGAGUUGAGAGACUGAUCGGCCACAUUGGGACUGAGACACGGCCCAAACUCCUACGGGAGGCUGCAGUAGGGAAUCUUCCACAAUGGGCGAAAGCCUGAUGGAGCAACGCCGCGUGUGUGAUGAAGGCUUUCGGGUCGUAAAGCACUGUUGUAUGGGAAGAAAAGUUAAGGUAGGGAAUGACCUUAGCCUGACGGUACCAUACCAGAAAGGGACGGCUAAAUACGUGCCAGCAGCCGCGGUAAUACGUAUGUCCCGAGCGUUAUCCGGAUUUAUUGGGCGUAAAGCGAGCGCAGACGGUUGGUUAAGUCUGAUGUGAAAGCCCGGAGCUCAACUCCGGAAAGGCAUUGGAAACUGGUUAACUUGAGUGCAGUAGAGGUAAGUGGAACUCCAUGUGUAGCGGUGGAAUGCGUAGAUAUAUGGAAGAACACCAGCGGCGAAGGCGGCUUACUGGACUGUAACUGACGUUGAGGCUCGAAAGUGUGGGUAGCAAACAGGAUUAGAUACCCUGGUAGUCCACACCGUAAACGAUGAACACUAGGUGUUAGGAGGUUUCCGCCUCUUAGUGCCGAAGCUAACGCAUUAAGUGUUCCGCCUGGGGAGUACGACCGCAAGGUUGAAACUCAAAGGAAUUGACGGGGACCCGCACAAGCGGUGGAGCAUGUGGUUUAAUUCGAAGCAACGCGAGAACC